rnacentral:rRNA from 1 species
UACAGAGGGGGCAAGCGUUAUUCGGAAUUACUGGGCGUAAAGCGUGCGUAGGCGGUGAUGUAAGACAGAUGUGAAAUCCCCGGGCUCAACCUGGGAACUGCAUUUGUGACUGCAUCGCUGGAGUGCGGCAGAGGGGGAUGGAAUUCCGCGUGUAGCAGUGAAAUGCGUAGAUAUGCGGAGGAACACCGAUGGCGAAGGCAAUCCCCUGGGCCUGCACUGACGCUCAUGCACGAAAGCGUGGGGAGCAAACAGG